AUUGAACGCUGGCGGCAGGCCUAACACAUGCAAGUCGAACGAGCGGCGGACGGGUGAGUAAUGUCUGGGAAACUGCCUGAUGGAGGGGGAUAACUACUGGAAACGGUAGCUAAUACCGCAUACCAUCAGAUGUGCCCAGAUGGGAUUAGCUUGUAGGUGGGGUAAUGGCUCACCUAGGCGACGAUCCCUAGCUGGUCUGAGAGGAUGACCAGCCACACUUGAACUGAGACACGGUCCAGACUCCGACGGGAGGCAGCAGUGGGGAAUAUUGCACAAUGGGCGCAAGCCUGAUGCAGCCAUGCCGCGUGUAUGAAGAAGGCCGUCGGGUUGUAAAGUACUUUCAGCGGGGAGGCGUUACGCGCAGAAGAAGCACCGGCUAACUCCGUGCCAGCCGCCGCGGUAAUUC
rnacentral:rRNA from 1 species